rnacentral:misc_RNA from 1 species
GAUGAAGAACGUAGCGAAAUGCGAUAAGUAAUGCGAAUUGCAGAAUUCAGUGAGUCAUCGAAUCUUUGAACGCACAUUGCGCCCUGUGGUAUUCCGCAGGGCAUGCCUGUUCGAGCGUCAUUUCAACCCUCAAGCUCUGCUUGGUGUUGGGCCCUGCCCGCUGCGGCCGGCCCUAAAGACAGUGGCGGUGCCGCUUGGCCCUGAGCGUAGUACAUCUCUCGCUCCAGUGCCCGGUGGUAGCCUGCCAGAACCCCAACUCUCGUGGUUGACCUCGGAUCAGGUAGGGAUACCCGCUGAACUUAAGCAUAUCAAUAAGCGGAGGA